UACCUGAUAACCUUUAUUCAGGAAGUGAGAGCAAUUCUGAAACAGUGCUUCGUGAGGCGCAUCACACAGUGCCUCUGCUUCCAGCGUGUGCAGGGAGGCUGCCGCCGCCGCCGCCCCAGUCCCGCGCUCCCCUCGGGCACCUCUGAGGAGGUCACCCUGGUGGUGGCAACGGCCGAGUCCACUUUAUUUUCACUUGGGCAGAAUGACUGACGGAGGCACUGGCGCUUCGUACAUCAGGUGGCGUGCUCUGUGCACCGUACUCUCCAAGGGCCGAUGCCAGCUUGCGUGUUAUGUACAGGCACAAGAGCAGGUGUGAGCCCCCUACCCACCUCCAGUUUGGGCAGCAAGGAGUCUGCUCCCCUUAGGACAGGAUUUCUCACCCUUCCUUCACGCUAUCGACAUCUUCCAAAGAGGAUAAAAACACAGACUAAACCAAGCAAGCAAAACUACUACAUCUUUCUUCUUGGAAUAAACACUGUUAGUAUUCAACACUUUAACAUUUACGGGGCAUCACAUAAAAACAAAGUCUACGGUUUUCACCGAAAUCAAAAAAAAAAAUGCAGCAAAUUGAUAUGACAGCAAAAUAAGGAGGGAAAUUCCAAUUCUUACAAAAGUUACAAAAAGUUUUAGAUUAUUAAGUGGAGAGCAAACGUUUGCAGCCCCAGGGAGAGCUUUUGUUGCCAACUGAAAAUCCAAAACAGCCAUCCUAACACAGGCUGUUCCAAAAGCCUGAUUCAUAAAAAAAAGACAGUUUAUUCUAUGUUUAAUAAAACAUUUAUUUAGGAUGGUAACACAAGAUAAAUCAUGCAAGAGCUCAGUAAAAACAAAACAAAAAAUAAAAACAAAAGUCAGAGUAAAAAGAAUGGCAAGUGCGGCUGCCAGUUUUUUAAAAGGUCAAUCAUUUUGCUAUCCACAGUGUGGCUAGUCAACAACAUUCGAAUCUGAGCAUGGACAUGGUUGUAGGAAUCUUCUGGAAUGGGAAAUGUUAAAGUGACAGGUAACUACUUGUGUUCCAUUCCUUAGAGGAGUCCAAGAUGCAAAAUCAGGAAUGUCUCUCGCAGCCCACGCUCAGACGGCAAGCAGCCCAGGGCCCCUGCCACCGAAUCCCCGACACCCUUGGGACAGUCUCAAACCGAUGCUUCUAGGCAGUGGAGGACAGCAGGCACCUUUGGUGACCCCUACGUGAGACUCCACCUACAUUCAGAAGCCUAAGGGGUUGGUAAUGAAAACCUGGAGACUUGCAAGCCAUCCUUAGCAGGCUGAACUGUAGUGCUGUGACGUCCAAGGAAGGCUUUCCACAUCAGGUGGAAGACCUGGGAACAACUGCAUCGAAUGGGACGUAGUGUCUCGAAUUUCAAAGAUACCUUGUCUUUUGGCAAAAAAAUAAAUAGAGUGGAAUGCGAGUCUGAGCGAUGGAGGAAUAUAUGAUCUACCAACUGUCAAGGAGUACAAUUUCAUUGCAGACACAAAGAAUCAAGAAUUUCCAAGAAUUUAAAAAAAAAAAAAAAAGUUUGCACUUAUUCCUCACGAAACCUUCACUUUUGCAACUACCCCAAUUGAAGCUACACACUGAAUUUAUUAAUACAGCAUUAAGUUUCUUUGUGUAAAAAAAUCUUUGUACAUAGUAAUAAAAAAAGAUAAGGCAAGAUGCAUUAAACAGAAACCUUCUGGUUCUUUCCCUCUGGGUUCGCACAGAGCCACGGUGACCAUCUGCAACAGAAGAGUGGCGUUUCUGAUGUUCCGUGUCAAGCAUCUUGUGCCUCUGCUGUGGUAAGAAUCCUGUCCGAGCACCUGAAGGGCAGAUGCUGGUGAUGGUCUUUGGCACUUAGGCUGGCAGACUGAGCUUCUUCCCCUUGAGGACUGGAAGGGUAAAGGGAGGGCGAGAAGACCAAAGGUUACGGAUCCCAACCAGCUCCCAGGUUC
rnacentral:lncRNA from 1 species